rnacentral:rRNA from 1 species
UUGAACGCUGGCGGCAGGCCUAACACAUGCAAGUCGAACGGUAACAGGAAGAAGCUUGCUUCUUUGCUGACGAGUGGCGGACGGGUGAGUAAUGUCUGGGAAACUGCCUGAUGGAGGGGGAUAACUACUGGAAACGGUAGCUAAUACCGCAUAACGUCGCAAGACCAAAGAGAGGGACCUUCGGGCCUCUUGCCAUCGGAUGUGCCCAGAUGGGAUUAGCUAGUAGGUGGGGUAACGGCUCACCUAGGCGACGAUCCCUAGCUGGUCUGAGAGGAUGACCAGCCACACUGGAACUGAGACACGGUCCAGACUCCUACGGGAGGCAGCAGUGGGGAAUAUUGCACAAUGGGCGCAAGCCUGAUGCAGCCAUGCCGCGUGUAUGAAGAAGGCCUUCGGGUUGUAAAGUACUUUCAGCGGGGAGGAAGGGAGUAAAGUUAAUACCUUUGCUCAUUGACGUUACCCGCAGAAGAAGCACCGGCUAACUCCGUG